rnacentral:rRNA from 1 species
GACGAACGCUGGCGGCGUGCCUAAUACAUGCAAGUCGAGCGGACUAAUGGGAGCUUGCUCCCAUUAGUUAGCGGCGGACGGGUGAGUAACACGUGGGCAACCUACCUGUAAGACUGGGAUAACUUCGGGAAGCCGGAGCUAAUACCGGAUGACAUAAAGGAACUCCUGUUCCUUUAUUGAAAGAUGGCUUCGGCUAUCACUUACAGAUGGGCCCGCGGCGCAUUAGCUAGUUGGUGAGGUAACGGCUCACCAAGGCGACGAUGCGUAGCCGACCUGGGGGGGUGAUCGGCCACACUGGGACUGGGACACGGCCAAGACUCCUACGGGAGGGAGCAGUAGGGAAUCUUCCGCAAUGGGCGAAAGUCUGACGGAGCAACGCCGCGUGAGCGAUGAAGGCCUUCGGGUCGUAAAGCUCUGUUGUUAGGGAAGAAUAAGUGCUAGUUGAAUAAGCUGGCACCUUGACGGUACCUAACCAGAAAGCCACGGCUAACUACGUGCCAGCCGCCGCCGUAAAAC